UAGCAAUUCCCAGGAGGUGAUUAGGGAACAGAGAUAACUGAGGGGAAAAAUUAGGCCUUUCUUCUGCUCCCUCCAGAGUGAUGAAUGGAUAAGGCGUGGGCUGAUUGCUUUCUCUUGACCACUUAAGGAAGCAACUCUGCACAACUGCAGGCCCACUCUGUCAGUUUUGAACCGGUGUUACAGUGAUAAACUGCAGAGCACAAGGGGGAAACUUUAAAGCCACAUGAGAACCAGGUUUGUACUCAACUGCGAUCCAGUGGGUGCUCCCUCGCUCAUGCUGACAAACUCCAUUGCAGACGCUUGACCAGUACAACACGCACAGAGCUGACUCGGCUCAAUGGUUCCCAAUCUGGCCAGAUGGCCAAACUUCAGGUCAAGGAGGGGGUCACAGGUCAUUCACAGGGCAAAUAUAAACACACGGCAGAGGCAAUGAUACUUUUACUGCAUUUAAAGAAAGCUGGUUUAUUUUCUGCUAACCUGUUUUUACUCAUCCAUUUUAUUGAUUUUCUUAAAGGGCGGUGUAAGAAGCUUUCCUCAGUCACCACAUGCGAGACUUGGAAAUAGAGAUUUCCCUCUCUUCCUCUAAAACACACUAGGGAAGUGAUGAUCGCUAAUCUCAUGCUGCUAAACUGUUUGAAUGGAAGAGCUAAUAUAAUUUUGCUUCACCCGUGUUUCUCGUUCCUCUUUUCCUCUGCCAAAAGACACACUGUUCAGCACUUAUCUGAUGCCACAUGGAGGGGAAAAGAAAAUUGAGGUUACAUCACCGCUUAGGAACCAUAAAUGAGGUCAGUGACUUGCUGCUUUUGCUUGGCUUUUGCCAGUAACCCCAUCUUUUGUUGAACAUUGUAGAUCCAGGGCUUGCAUGGAACAAUUUGUCAUAAAAAAUACAGGUCAGAGACAUAUUAGGACUACACACUGUCAAAUAGACUGGACAAUAAUAUAAAUAUUUGAAGUCUGACAUUCACAAUCUGUAGACUUGGAGCCAAACUAAACACCCCAACUCACUGUUAAGUUGCUGCUCUAUAAAGAAUAAAUGAUAGCAUGCCAAAACAAAGCCAUCAUCACCAAAGAAAAUCUAUACUCCCAUAAAUUAAAGAGCAGAAUUAACAUAAGUAAUAGAAUGAGUUAUUUAUUUCAAUUUAUUUCUUAUGUGCACGACUUGCUUAUGUAUCCAAUUAAAAUGAGUCACAAACAUCACGAUAAAAUGCAUUUAAAUCCAUGCAGUUGAUUUAAGUACUUCACCCUGGAGCUCAGAGAGGUGUUGCUAUGAGAUGAGGAACUAUGUUCAAAAACCUGAUCACAAGAGUGUGACUUCCUUUAAGUCCAAGUUUAAAUAGAAGGCAGUGUUCUUAUAGCAGGCGACGCGUCAUGUUUCUCAAGAGCUCUUAAAGGUGAAAGGAAUGUGUGUGAAAAGCCUGGUGUUGAGUUCAGCUCGUGCUCUAGUGCUUGUGUGCAGCUUCCGUCUCAUCUAUCUUCCAACUGGAUGAUUCUAAUCUAC
ensembl:lncRNA